rnacentral:rRNA from 1 species
GACGAAGGGGGCUAGCGUUGUUCGGAAUGACUGGGCGUAAAGGGCGCGUAGGCGGCUUGCACAGUCAGGCGUGAAAUUCCUGGGCUCAACCUGGGGACUGCGCUUGAGACGUGUGGGCUUGAGUGGGGAAGAGGGUCGUGGAAUUCCCAGUGUAGAGGUGAAAUUCGUAGAUAUUCGCAAGAACACCAGUGGCGAAGGCGGCUUACUGGUCCGGUUCUGACGCUGGAGGCGCGAAAGCGUGGGGAGCAAACAGG